AAAGAAUGAACGUCAUUUGCUGCACUGCAUAGUGAUUGAAGAAUGUCAGUGGAUAUAAAAACACUGGAUAUAUGCACCUUAUUCAAGAGAACAAGCAUCAGAGGAGACAUGCAGAUCUACCGGGACACAGACGUCCACCUGGACUAACAGGAAGGACAGCGAUAACCAGAGAAGCAGCACAGAGAUCCCUGGUAACUCUGGAGGAGCUGCGGAGAGCUACAGCUCAGGAGAGUCCAGUAAAAACUACACACAUCAUGGACCCAGCCUGCUUUCCCCGGAGAAGAAAUAUCAGAGCCAAAGACUCUACACCAUCAUGGAUACUUACUGUAUAAGUGUUGGCUGACA